rnacentral:rRNA from 1 species
UUGACCUCGGAUCAGGUAGGAAUACCCGCUGAACUUAAGCAUAUCAAUAAGCGGAGGAAAAGAAACCAACAGGGAUUGCCCUAGUAACGGCGAGUGAAGCGGCAACAGCUCAAAUUUGAAAUCUGGCUCUCGGGCCCGAGUUGUAAUUUGUAGAGGAUACUUUUGAUGCGGUGCCUUCCGAGUUCCCUGGAACGGGACGCCAUAGAGGGUGAGAGCCCCGUCUGGUUGGAUGCCAAAUCUCUGUAAAGUUCCUUCGACGAGUCGAGUAGUUUGGGAAUGCUGCUCUAAAUGGGAGGUAUAUGUCUUCUAAAGCUAAAUACCGGCCAGAGACCGAUAGCGCACAAGUAGAGUGAUCGAAAGAUGAAAAGCACUUUGAAAAGAGAGUUAAAAAGUACGUGAAAUUGUUGAAAGGGAAGCGUUUAUGACCAGACUUGGGCUUGGUUGAUCAUCUGGGGUUCUCCCCAGUGCACUCUUCCAGUCCAGGCCAGCAUCAGUUUUCGCCGGGGGAUAAAGACUUCGGGAAUGUGGCUCUCUUCGGGGAGUGUUAUAGCCCGUUGUGUAAUACCCUGGCGGGGACUGAGGU